rnacentral:tRNA from 1 species
GUCUGGGUGGCGUAGUUGGUUAUCACGUUAGUCUCACACACUAAAGGUCCCCAGUUCGAACCUGGGCUCAGACA